rnacentral:tRNA from 1 species
GGGCGAUUAGCUCAGUUGGCAGAGCAGCUGACUCUUAAUCAGCGGGUCGUAGGUUCGAAUCCUACAUCGCCCACCA